UACGGAGGGUGCGAGCGUUGUCCGGAAUCACUGGGCGUAAAGGGCGCGUAGGUGGCCCGUGGAAGUCUGCGGUGAAAGCCCGGCGCUCAACGCCGGGUCCGGCCGUGGAUACUCUCGGGCUUGAGCUUACUAGAGGCAGAUGGAAUUCCGGGUGUAGCGGUGGAAUGCGUAGAGAUCCGGAAGAACACCGGUGGCGAAGGCGGUCGCUGGGGUAAUGCUGACACUGAUGCGCGACAGCG
rnacentral:rRNA from 1 species